rnacentral:rRNA from 1 species
CUACGGGGUGCACCAGUGGGGAAUAUUGGUCAAUGGGCGAAAGCCUGAUCCAGCCAUGCCGCGUGUGUGAUGAAGGCCUUAGGGUCGUAAAGCACUGUGGAGAAGGACGAAAAGCUGUAGGAAUAAUACCCUAUAGUCUUGACGGUACUUCUUUAGCAAGCACCGGCUAACUCCGUGCCAGCAGCCGCGGUAAUACGGAGGGGGCAAGCGUUAAUCGGAAUUACUGGGCGUAAAACGCGCGUAGGCGGCUAGAUCAGUCGGGUGUGAAAGCCCCGGGCUUAACCUGGGAACUGCAUCCGAUACUGUCUAGCUUGAGUACAGGAGAGGAGAGUGGAAUUCCACAUGUAGCGGUGAAAUGCGUAGAUAUGUGGAGGAACACCAAUGGCGAAGGCAGCUCUCUGGCCUGAUACUGACGCUGAGGUGCGAAAGCGUGGGGAGCAAACAGGAUUAGAUACCCCCGUAGUC